GCUCAACCCCCCAUCGAGUUAUUAACAUGUUCCUGUUAGUUUUUGAGGGAUGGCCUCUGAAGAAACCAUUGGAAUAUUAAUGAAAGUUUUAUGAUGAGAUAAAAAUUCAAAAACUAAAACAAAAACCAUGCAUUAGCCAAAAAUAACUGUAGGAUACAAUUUCUAUGGCUACUAAAAUAUUAUUUUGGUUUUCAUUAAGCUGAAAAGUAAAAUGGUUAUCUUGAAAGGAGGUAAAUUGAGUUUAGCCCAGAUACAUUCAUUGAGAAGAAGCACAAAUCUCACUUUUUCACUUUCUUUUUUUUUCUUUUUUAAAGAUUUUUAUUUAUUUAUUCAUGAGAGACACAGAGAGAGAGGCAGAGACACAGACAGAGGAAGAAGCAGGCUCCAUGCAAGGAGCCAGACGUGGGACUCGAUACCGGGUCUCCAGGAUCACGCCCUGGGCAGAAGACAGGCGUCAAACCGCGGGGCCACCCAGGAUCCCCUCUUUUUCACUUUCUAUCAUCAAAAAUGUGUUUGCAUUGCAAGUGACAUCUGGCUGACAGGAACUUGGAGAAAUGGGAUACAAAGUGAAUGCUGCAGUUACCACAAGCAUCAUAUUUAUCAAAAGGUUUAAGAAGGAGGAGAAGGAGGAAGAGGAAGAUGGAAAGAAAAGUGAUGGGUGCUUGGUGUACCAUCGUGGAUCCUGGUGGAUUCAGGAUGUAGAGGAGAAGCCUCCCUCCCGGGGGUGGGCGGGCAGGGGGUGAGAAAGCACGGGUAACAGUAACAGGUAGCCAGUAACCCUGAAGCCGAAGACUGUGAAGACGUGCAGUUAGCUCUUCAUUUUGUUGUUGAAGGGACCGGGUUCCAUAGGCGGGGAAGGAGCUUGCUGAAUAGCGACGCUCACCAUUUGCUCCUCCAAACACAUUCUGUGGGAGGGCGUGGGAUUUCACAGCAGUGAGAGCAAAACUAUUCACAGCAGUACCAUAUGCUCCCCACCAUCAGGAGCGGCGGUCCUGGUCACUGGACUUGGCAGGCGAAGCCACUGAAUGGAAAUGCUGAAGACCACAGUAGGAGUUUUCUCUUUGUGGGUUUUGGAUGGUAAAAUCUUCAAUCUGUUCCACAGGCAGACAUCAGAGCGAAAAAUAAUUCUACACAAAUUGUGUGCGUGUGUCCGGGUGUGCGCGCGUGCAAGAACAUGACUACGUGUUGCCUCCGGAAAAGUGGAGGGAGAAGCGGGGGCUCGGCCCUUGUCCCGCACCGUCCUACCGAGGUAGCGGGUCAAACCUUGGAUGCCAACGGAGAGGACACUGGGAGAAGGAAAGAUGGAGACAGAUUAUUUUUAGUAUAAAUUCCAUGUUUUCGGUUUUUUUGUCUAAGAAAAAAAGUAAGAUUGAGAAGAAUUUCCCAAAUGCCAAGACCAUUUAAUAGCAGAAUUACAACUGACGAUAAAUGCAGCACUUUUUAAAGCUUGUCCUUUCUCUGUUAUUAACUUUGUUCUUUCGGUUGUGCCAGAGAAAGCACAAGAGACAGAAAUUGGCAGAAAUAUGGGUCUGAAGAACAGAAAUUCAACUCAAAUGAAAAUACCGUGAAAACCUCUAGUAAAAAAAAAAAAAAAGUCUUUAGUUUAAUAGCACAACUUUCAUCAUCGAGAAAAGGUUUAUUUGAAUUAAAAGUAAAAUUUAGGACGCUCUAUUAUCCAAUCAUUAGUCAUUCCGGGCACGUAUGGGCUAUUUUCUAUUUCCAAAGUGGUUUGCAAUCAUUAGU
rnacentral:lncRNA from 12 species